rnacentral:tRNA from 1 species
UCCUCGGUAGUUUAAAAGUUUAGGACGCUCGUACGGAAUACAAGAUAUCCGGGUUCGACUCCAGGCCGAGGUA